GGUUAAGCGACUAAGCGUACACGGUGGAUGCCCAGGCAGUCAGAGGCGAUGAAGGACGUGCUAAUCUGCGUAAAGCGACGGUAAGGUGAUAUGAACCGCUACAGCCGUCGAUGUCCGAAUGGGGAAACCCGGUGCACUCUGUGCAUCAUUGCAGCAUGAAUACAUAGUGCUGCAAGGCGAACCGGGGGAACUGAAACAUCUAAGUACCCCGAGGAAAAGAAAUCAACCGAGAUUCCCCCAGUAGCGGCGAGCGAACGGGGAGCAGCCCAGAGCCUGAAUCAGUUUGUGUGUUAGUGGAAGCGUCUGGAAAGUCGCAGGGUACAGGGUGAUACUCCCGUACACAAAAACACACAUGCUGUGAGCUCGAUGAGUAAGGCGGGACACGUGGUAUCCUGUCUGAAUAUGGGGGGACCAUCCUCCAAGGCUAAAUACUCCUGACUGACCGAUAGUGAACCAGUACCGUGAGGGAAAGGCGAAAAGAACCCCGGCGAGGGGAGUGAAACAGAACCUGAAACCGUGUACGUACAAGCAGUGGGAGCCUU
rnacentral:rRNA from 1 species